ensembl:lncRNA
GGUUGGUUGGUUCACUAGCUUAGGACACCUUACGAAGGAUCACCAGACUUCUAGCUCAGUCCCAUGUGGACCUUGUAGCUUUGCUUCAUGAUCAUGCACCAGACUCCUAGACUAGACCAAAUGCUCAAAGCAAAUGACUCAUAGUACAGGGUUACAAAGGCAUGUGGAGAUAGGGAGGAGAAGGACAGGUGGAUUCUUAACCACUGGACCACCAGGGAAGUCCUUGAUUGUCCCAAUUUAUUGAUGAAGAACCUGAGACUCCAAGAAAUUAAUUUUCUUAUUAUCACACAGAAGGAGAACUAAAAGGCAACAAGGAACAUGAAUUGGUUAACCUUAAAGAGAGCUAUCUUUAGUGGCUUGGAAUUUUAAGUACAAAUAAGAGAAGGAUGUCUUUAAU